rnacentral:rRNA from 1 species
UACGGGGGGGGCAAGCGUUGUUCGGAAUUACUGGGCGUAAAGGGUCUGUAGGUGGCUUGUUAAGUCAGACGUGAAAUCCCUCAGCUUAACUGGGGAACUGCGUCUGAUACUGGCGAGCUUGAGUGCAGGAGAGGAACGCGGAAUUCCAGGUGUAGCGGUGAAAUGCGUAGAUAUCUGGAGGAACACCGGUGGCGAAGGCGGUUCUCUGGGCAUGAUCUGACGCUGAGGAGCGAAAGUGUGGGGAGCGAACAGG